CUUGGUCAUUUAGAGGAAGUAAAAGUCGUAACAAGGUCUCCGUAGGUGAACCUGCGGAGGGAUCAUUACACAAAUAUGAAGGCGGGCUGGAACCUCUCGGGGUUACAGCCUUGCUGAAUUAUUCACCCUUGUCUUUUGCGUACUUCUUGUUUCCUUGGUGGGUUCGCCCACCACUAGGACAAACAUAAACCUUUUGUAAUUGCAAUCAGCGUCAGUAACAAAUUAAUAAUUACAACUUUCAACAACGGAUCUCUUGGUUCUGGCAUCGAUGAAGAACGCAGCGAAAUGCGAUAAGUAGUGUGAAUUGCAGAAUUCAGUGAAUCAUCGAAUCUUUGAACGCACAUUGCGCCCUUUGGUAUUCCAAAGGGCAUGCCUGUUCGAGCGUCAUUUGUACCCUCAAGCUUUGCUUGGUGUUGGGCGUCUUGUCUCUAGCUUUGCUGGAGACUCGCCUUAAAGUAAUUGGCAGCCGGCCUACUGGUUUCGGAGCGCAGCACAAGUCGCACUCUCUAUCAGCAAAGGUCUAGCAUCCAUUAAGCCUUUUUUUCAACUUUUGACCUCGGAUCAGGUAGGGAUACCCGCUGAACUUAAGCAUAUCAAUAACG
rnacentral:rRNA from 1 species